GAUGAAGAACGUAGCGAAAUGCGAUAAGUAGUGUGAAUUGCAGAAUUCAGUGAAUCAUCGAAUCUUUGAACGCACAUUGCGCCCCUUGGUAUUCCAUGGGGCAUGCCUGUUCGAGCGUCAUUUGUACCUUCAAGCUUUGCUUGGUGUUGGGUGUUUGUCUCGCCUCUGCGUGUAGACUCGCCUCAAAACAAUUGGCAGCCGGCGUAUUGAUUUCGGAGCGCAGUACAUCUCGCGCUUUGCACUCAUAACGACGACGUCCAAAAGUACAUUUUUACACUCUUGACCUCGGAUCAGGUUGGGAUACCCGCUGAACUUAAGCAUAUCAAUAAGCGGAGGA
rnacentral:misc_RNA from 1 species